UACGUAGGGGGCAAGCGUUGUCCGGAUUCAUUGGGUUUAAAGGGUGCGCAGGCGGGAGAUUAAGUCAGGGGUGAAAGACGGUUGCUCAACAAUCGCAGUGCCCUUGAUACUGGUUUUCUUGGGUGACCUUGAGGUAGGCGGAAUGGGUGGUGUAGCGGUGAAAUGCAUAGAUACCACCCAGAACUCCGAUUGCGAAGGCAGCCUACUGGAGGUUAACCGACGCUCAGGCACGAAAGCGUGGGGAGUCAAACAGGG
rnacentral:rRNA from 1 species